UACAGAAGGGGCAAGCGUUGUUCGGAAUUACUGGGCGUAAAGGGCGCGUAGGCGGCCUGUUAAGUCGAACGUGAAAUCCCCGGGCUCAACCCGGGAACUGCGUCCGAUACUGGCAGGCUUGAAUCCGGGAGAGGGAUGCGGAAUUCCAGGUGUAGCGGUGAAAUGCGUAGAUAUCUGGAGGAACACCGGUGGCGAAGGCGGCAUCCUGGACCGGCAUUGACGCUGAGGCGCGAAGGCGUGGGGAGCGAACGGG
rnacentral:rRNA from 1 species